rnacentral:rRNA from 1 species
UACGAAGGGGGCUAGCGUUGUUCGGAUUUACUGGGCGUAAAGCGCGUGUAGGCGGGCCGUUAAGUCGGGGGUGAAAUCCCAGAGCUCAACUCUGGAACUGCCUCCGAGACUGGCGGCCUGGACCCAAGGAGAGGCGAGUGGACUUGCGAGGGUAGAGGUGAAAUUCGUAGAUAUUCGCAGGAACGCCAGUGGCGAAGGCGACUCGCUGUACUUGUGGUGACGCUGAGACGAGUGAUCGUGGUGAGGAAACAGG